CCAGCAGCCGCGGUAAUUCCAGCUCCAAUAGCGUAUAUUAAAGUUGUUGCAGUUAAAAAGCUCGUAGUUGGAUUUCUGGGAGGGCGCCAAUGUCCGCUCGUUCGCGUGUGCAGCGGCGCCCUUCCAUCCUUCUGUUAACGCUUCUUGGUAUUCAGUUACUGGUAGCGGGCUCAGAUAUUUUACCUUGAGAAAAUUAGAGUGUUCCAGGCAGGCUUGCGCCGGAAUACAUUAGCAUGGAAUAAUAGAAUAGGACUUUAGUCUCCUUUGUUGGUUUGAGGGACUGAAGUAAUGAUUAAUAGGGAUAGUUGGGGGCAUUAGUAUUUAAUUGUCAGAGGUGAAAUUCUCGGAUUUGUUAAAGACUAACUUAUGCGAAAGCAUUUGCCAAGGAUGUUUUCAUUAAUCAAGAACGAAAGU
rnacentral:rRNA from 1 species